rnacentral:lncRNA from 1 species
ACUUGUAGCGCGGCGCCCAUUGGCUGGGGGGCCGGCCCGGUUCGUGGCGGCGCGCGCUGUUCGUGUCAGACGUGAGGCCUGGGCGGCAGUGCUGGCGCGGUGCCGCCUGGCGGCCGCUGCCUCCCAACCCCAAUUGCCUCGAGGUUCUCGCGACCGGUUCGCUGGGCUCCGCGAACGCCACGCACGCAGGCUAGACCGGCUUAGGUGAGCCGAGCGGCCCGCCCGAGCGGGAGCAUGCGCCGUCGGGGCGCCUUUGGGUCCCUCCCCGGAGCUGGUGGUGGCCGGAGAGCAGUGACCUCACACAUGCCUGGGGAGGAGUCUGAUGGGGCAGGCAGCUUCCGGGGCGGGGCUUCGUGUGGGCUCCGGGGAUGGCAGACACCGACAGCCCCACUAUGGGACGUGUCUGUCCAAGACUCUCAGCGUAGCAGAACAUGGCGGCCUCUGAGAGAGGUAGGCUACUGGUAGGUACUCAACUUUGAGUGACUUCAGGGAGAGGAACAAUUGUCUCCUCACCCCGAAUAGAGCACCAACCACGGACAAGAGAAAGGAUUCCGUCUUGUCUACCCUGCCCACCCCUUGCCCCGCCAGAGGCAGCUCUGCAGAGGGCUUCUUCCCCCUUUGUGCACCGAUUAUAUAAACUGGCAAGAGGAACCACAGUGAAUCGGCUAACUUUCUAACUUCCCCAUACCUCAAUGUUUCUUUUCUUUGUAAACUAAUUUUAUUACAUUUACUUGUGUGAACAUUUGCUGAGGUCAGAGGACAACCUUCACCAGUCACCUCCUAAUGUCUGGACCCUGGGGCUAGAACUCUGAUUGUGGGAUUUGGUGGCCUUUACCCAGUGAACCAUCUUGUUGGGCCCUCAAUACGUUUCUUGAAUUUCCUGAAGGCUGGUGUAGUCUUAUGAGCCACCUUCCAAUAACUACAUAACAGGUGUCAUGACUGAAUAUUAAAAUUUUGUAUUACCAUUUUAUUUAUUGUGGGGAGGGGCACAUGUGCUAUGGCAAAUGUGUGGAGAGCAGAGGACAACAUGAAGGGACCUGUUGUUUCCUUUGCCCACAGGUUCCAAGGAUCAAACACAGGUUAAAAAUUAUUUGAGUUAAGUCAUAUGUAGGAAACAUUCCAUGUUAUACAUGAUAAAACUCUAUGCCUGUGGCUGGAGAGUUGUCCCAGUGAUUUAAAGGCACUUGUUACUCUUCUUACAAGAGGAUCCAGGUUCAGUUCCUGACACUCAACGUGAGGCUCCCAACCAUCCCAACUCAGUGGAACUCAAACCCUCUUUUGACUGCUUCAGGCACCAGGCAUGUAUAUAUGAUGCACAUACAUGUAUACAUGCAGGCAAGAUACACAUAUUUUUAAAAUAAAACUUUUAUGGUGGUGCACACCUUUAAUCCUAGUAUUUAGGAGGGAGGCAGGUGGAUCUCAGAGUUCAAGUCCUUCCUUGUCUACAGUACAAGUUCCAGGACAGCCAGGACUACACAGAGAAGCCCUGGUUCAAAGAACAAAAAUGAAAUAAAGCUUUCCAUACCUUGG